rnacentral:lncRNA from 1 species
UUUAGAGGACUAGAUUUUUCUAAAGGGGGAGAUUGUUAUAGACUAAAAUGAUGUUGUUUUAGGAAACCCCAAAAUGGUGUCAUUUUAGACGUAAAAAAGAAUAAAAAUAGAAUCAGAGGUGUACAUGCCUCUAGUGGAAGAAAAAGAAGAAGAGACUUAUAUGUCGGAGAAGAACAGGCAUGUAGGAGUCUCCCACCCUAUUAUAAAAACAAAAGGAGUCAAAGGGAGGGGGAGAGUUGCGCAAGAAAAAAAAAAUAAAAAAAAGAGAAGAAGAGUUAUGUGAAGAGAAAGAAAGGGAGCUAUUCGCAUAGAAGAAAGAAGGGGAGAAAGAGAGACAAAAGGAGGCUGCAAUAGAUCCGACCAGUGUGAGGUAGAUCAUGGCAAGAGCAGGCGAAAGGCAAGGUAGUGUUGCCUAUACGCAUCUGAGUCGAAAGGAAAUAAUGACAACUAGUUGAACUGCUCGAGGAAGAAGGACGUGUGUGCGGCGAUUCUGUUGAAGAAGGAAUGUCGAUCUAUGCGCACGAUGUUGGCUUGAGAUGAUCCAACAAUAAGGAUCUGCAUGCGUGAGGG